rnacentral:rRNA from 1 species
CCUACGGGGGGCAGCAGUGGGGAAUAUUGGACAAUGGGGGCAACCCUGAUCCAGCCAUGCCGCGUGUGUGAAGAAGGCCCUCGGGUUGUAAAGCACUUUCAGUGAGGAAGAACGCCUGGUGGUUAAUACCCAUCAGGAAAGACAUCACUCACAGAAGAAGCACCGGCUAACUCCGUGCCAGCAGCCGCGGUAAUACGGAGGGUGCGAGCGUUAAUCGGAAUUACUGGGCGUAAAGCGCGUGUAGGUGGCUUGAUAAGCCGGUUGUGAAAGCCCCGGGCUCAACCUGGGAACGGCAUCCGGAACUGUCAAGCUAGAGUGCAGGAGAGGAAGGUAGAAUUCCCGGUGUAGCGGUGAAAUGCGUAGAGAUCGGGAGGAAUACCAGUGGCGAAGGCGGCCUUCUGGACUGACACUGACACUGAGGUGCGAAAGCGUGGGUAGCAAACAGGAUUAGAUACCCCAGUAGUC